GUGAAAUCAGUAAUCACCAUGCCUUUAGAGAAGAAAGAUUGAGUUUUACUGAUCAAGCUGUUUUAUCGGAACUGCAGCAAUGGUUUAGGUGCACUGCAUUGAAUAUCAAUGUUUCAAAGGCUUGUGAAGAGAGCCUAUGCCACUCAAUGGUUUGGAAAAAAUGACUAUAAAAUUUGAAGAGACUGAGGAGUUAGGUGUGCUGCUAGGAAGAGGACGGAAAUGGAUUUCAAAUGAAAGUGUGGAAGAAGUCACUGCUGCUGUGAUGGACAGAACUGUUCCCAAUAUUCUUGGACAAGUGCUCAAGUGGUGUCACGUGAUUUGUAUAUUCCUUGGCCUACAGUUCGAAAGAUUGUGUU
rnacentral:lncRNA from 1 species